GGGGGCGUAGGCUAGUCGGGAUAGGCUGUGAGUAUCGCAGCUCACGACCCGGGUUCGAAUCCCGGCGCUCCCA
rnacentral:tRNA from 1 species